GGGAGAAGGCUACUGGCACUGGUCUAGAGGAGGGGGGAGAAGAAGGUGAUGAGAGAGGGAAAAGCUCAAAUACGUUUUGCAUGUACCCCGUCCUACGCCGGAGGUGGUAGGUGUAAUUCUGGUGAAUAGUUGGCGAAAGAGAGGCAUGAAUCAGACUGCUAAAGUCCAAGAAUACAGUUAUUUCCAUUCUUCUUCGAGGGUUGAAAGGGAAAAAGCAUCAGUCGACAGAGUCAAUAGUCCUCAUCGUGACCUUAAUCAGGAUUUGGCUACGUGCCACUGAAAAUGUAGAAAUACGUUCUGUAGCUGGCAUUGACAGUUUCAAAUAAACACAGUCCAUAUGGUGGUA